GUAGCGGCAGUGACUGCCACUGCCGGCGAAGCAGUCUGAGCCCUACGAUGAGGCCGGGGACUGGAGCCGAGCGUGGAGGCCUCAUGAUGCCUGGAAUGAUGUCUUCAGUAAUGCCUGGGAUGAUGAUGUCUCAUAUGUCUCAGGCUUCCAUGCAACCUGCCUUACCGCCAGGGGUAAAUAGUAUGGAUGUGGCAGCAGGUACAGCAUCUGGCACAACAUGGACAAAGAAGAUGCAUUAAUUUGCUUUGAAGAGCAUAUUCGGGCUUUAGAAUAGGAGGAGGAAGAAGAAAAACAGAAGAAUUUGCUGAGAGAAAGGAGACGUCAGCGUAAAAAUAGAGAAUCUUUUCAGAUAUUUUUAGAUGAACUGCAUGAACAUGGACAACUACAUUCUAUGUCAUCUUGGAUGAAAUUGUAUCCAACCAUUAGUUCUGACAUUAGAUUCACUAAUAUGCUUGGUCAGCCUGUUUUUUCAUUAGGAUCAACUGCACUUGAUCUUUUCAAGUUUUAUGUUGAGGAUCUUAAAGCACAUUAUCAUGAUGAAAAAGAAAAUAAUAAAAGACAUUCUAAAGGAUAAAGGAUUUGUAGUUGAAGUAAAUACUACAUUUGAAGAUUUUGUGGCAAUAAUUAGUUCAAUUAAAAGAUCAACUAUCUUGGAUGCUGGAAAUACCAAGUUGGCUUCCAAUAGUCUACUGGAAAAGGCAGAAGCCCGUGAACAUGAAAGAGAAAAAGAAGAGGAUCGGAAAAUGAAAUGAAAAGAAUCUGCAUUUAAGAGCAUGUUGAAACAAGCUGCUCCUCCAAUAGAAUUGGGUGCUGUCUGGGAAGAUAUCUGGGAGAGAUUUGUAAAAGAGCCAGCAUUUGAGGACAUAACUCUAGAGUCUGAAAGAAAAAGAAUAUUUAAAGAUUUUAUGCAUGUCCUUGAGCAUGAGUAUCAGCAUCAUCAUUCAAAGAAUGAGAAACAUUCUAAGAAAUCUAAGAAACAUCAUAGAAAGCAUUCCCGCUCUCAAUUGGGGUCAGUUUCAGAUGAUGAAGACAGCCAUUCAAAGAAAAAAAGACAGCGAUCAGAGUCCCGUUCUGCUUCAGAACAUUCUUCUAGUGCUGAAUCUGAGAGAAGUUAUAAAAAAAUCAAAAAAGCAUAAGAAGAAAAGCAAGAAGAGGAGACAUAAAUCUGACUCUCCAGAAUCAGAUGCCAAGCGAGAAAAGGAUAAAAAAGAAAAAGAUCGGGAAAAUGAAAAAGACAGAACUAGACAGAGAUCGGAAUCAAAACACAAAUCACCUAAGAAAAAAA